rnacentral:rRNA from 1 species
AGGAAGACUGCCCUAUGGGUUGUAAACUGCUUUUAUACAGGAAGAAACGUACCUACGAGUAGGUAUUUGACGGUACUGUAAGAAUAAGGACCGGCUAACUCCGUGCCAGCAGCCGCGGUAAUACGGAGGGUCCGAGCGUUAUCCGGAAUCAUUGGGUUUAAAGGGUCCGCAGGCGGUCGAUUAAGUCAGAGGUGAAAUCCCAUAGCUUAACUAUGGAACUGCCUUUGAUACUGGUUGACUUGAGUAAUACGGAAGUAGAUAGAAUAUGUAGUGUAGCGGUGAAAUGCAUAGAUAUUACAUAGAAUACCGAUUGCGAAGGCAGUCUACUACGUAUUUACUGACGCUCAUGGACGAAAGCGUGGGGAGCGAACAGGAUUAGAUACCCUGGUAGUCCACGCCGUAAACGAUGGACACUAGUUGUUGGGAAAUGUCUCAGUGACUAAGCGAAAGUGAUAAGUGUCCCACCUGGGGAGUACGAUCGCAAGAUUGAAACUCAAAGGAAUUGACGGGG